rnacentral:rRNA from 1 species
AUGGCGCGUUCUCUGUGCCGCGUGUGCCUGAGUUGGGGUGGGGCGUGGUUGGAAGGAGGGCAGGCUUCAAAUUGGUGUCGAGCACAACAUGUCGACCUCGAAGAAGAGCUUGAACAACCUGCCCCCACCCCUCCUGUGAAAGCAAGCUUGAAGGUGCCAGGUGGUCGAUUGUGGAACAGAAGGCGUGGCGGUAGGGCAGAGGGGUGGACGCUACAAGUGGUUGGGAUCACGAAGAAGAGGCAGGCUGCAGCUCGCCAGCACCUUUACAACUGGGAUGGUUACAAAGACUUGGAGUUCGGUGGUUCGGAGGAGUUGUACAGCAACCUGAUCAUGCUCUCAGAAUUCUAG